rnacentral:rRNA from 1 species
UACGUAGGGUGCAAGCGUUGUCCGGAAUUAUUGGGCGUAAAGAGCUCGUAGGCGGUUUGUUGCGUCGGCUGUGAAAACCCGGGGCUCAACCCCGGGCCUGCAGUUGAUACGGGCAAACUAGAGUGUGGUAGGGGAGACUGGAAUUCCUGGUGUAGCGGUGAAAUGCGCAGAUAUCAGGAGGAACACCGGUGGCGAAGGCGGGUCUCUGGGCCAUAACUGACGCUGAGGAGCGAAAGCGUGGGGAGCGAACAGG